CUCUCUCUGUCUGUCUGUCUGUCUGUCUGUCUGUCUGUCUGUCUGUCUGUCUGUCUGUCUGUCUGUCUGUCUGCAUGUGUAAUAUGGGAUGCUCGCGCUCCAGAACAUGUGCAUUGUCUCAGCUUCCCUCGUCGCGUCCAAAAAAAACCCUUUCAUUCCAUCGCUUUGUUUUCGCUCGAGGUUUAAUAAUAUAGCGGCUCGAAGCCACGCCCCCUGCGGGACCAUACUAUUGUACACACACACAUUGUUUAGUGCGCGUGUGGUCAACGCGAUCCUUUGGUUCUCGCGCUCUAAAAAGUAAACGACGCUCGGAGAAAUAACGGAAAGGGUCAUUAUUGCUUCAGCGCACGCACACACACACACACACACACACACACACACACACACACACACACACACACACACACACACACACACACACACACACACACACACACACUUCAACGUCGUGUUCUGAAACUUAUUUACAAAUCAUUGGAGAAGCUGAAGAUCCGGAUUAAUAAACACCGAGAGAUUCCUGAGAAAGCGGGUGUGAAGUCAAGCUCAGACUACAUCUUCCAGAAAAUACCUGAGACCAGGAAAAGGGAUUCUUCUUGGAUCAAUGAAUCCUAAAAUCCUACAUUAGACUUUGUGCUUCUCUUAAUAAAUCACCGCCACGAUGGGAGUGUAUUCCUUUGUUUUGAGAAGCUGAGGUCUUGGAAAACCCUAAUGGAGAGCGAAGUGAGAACCGGCCUUUCUCCAGCCGCUGUCGUGGCCAUCGUUUGCAACACAGUACUUGCUAUUCUCAUCUUCCUCCUCUUCAUCAUCAUUUACAAGGCCUGUAAGGUGCCCUCCAGUCCAGAGAGUGCACCAGUGUUAGCACAGACUCAAGAGAAGAAAAAGAGUGAACAAAAUUUUUAUUGACUGUGGCCUGAGAUUUCACGGGUGGCAGUGCAUUUGCUUUGAAAUCCAUAAACUGUAUCUAGUGCACUAUAGAAAGUGAACCACUUUGGAAUGCUUUAAAAUUGUAUUAUAAAUGUAAUAAGGUUUAAAAGCAGAAAGUAAUAAGGAAGUAAAGCACAUGACAAUUUAGUUAUUGUAUUGGUUUGUAACAUUAUCAUAUUUUACACUCAGGAGCAGGCGAAGUUUAUUCCUGACUUCACACUGAUCUGAACAGUAAGCAUCAAGCUGAAAAUUCCAGAGGGAUGAACUCAAUCGAUUCCAUCUGUGCCCUGUAAUCAUUCACGUCUUUCUGCCUGAAAAUGAAAGGAUAAAAAUGAGCAUAAUAUUGGCAAAGUAUUUUAGCCAGUGCCUGUACAGUUCUUUUCUUAGGCCCUGGAACCCUUAAAGAUUUAACUCACCUCUUUUCACAUUUAUUUAUGUGACUUGACUAUAUAUCCAAAUAUACUUACAACUGAGAAAAGACUCUGAGAAUCUGGGCUAGAGUUGUUGAUGGUGUGUGCUUCAGCCCAGCCCAUAGUAGAAAGAAGAGUAUGGGAAGGUACAGUACAAGAAGGAAACUAAUAUUGGGAACAGUCAAUAAUUGUAGCUCCAGGUAUGGCCAUUUCUCUUAAACUAAUAUCCUACAACAGUGUUUCCUUGUCCAAUUAGAACGCCAUUAGAAGCCCUUAAAUAUCCAAAGAAUAUUGGAUGCACUACAUGUACAUGCACAGUACAUGUCCAUGUACUUCAUCUUUCAAUCCAGUUGAUGACUUUCUUUUAAAGAAAUUUAAUUUAGAACAGAAAAUAAUCUUUUUAAUCUUGUACAGAGCAUUAUUUGGCUUGUCACUGUAGAGGAAGCUUAUUAUAGAAUUAUAAUCCUAUUAAAAGCUAACAUAGUAAAGUAUCUGUAGAACCCUUGAACUUAUUAAAUAUUUGAGCCUCUGAGGAAAGGCUUACAUGUCCUGUAUUGACUGUUUCCAAGUGGGACAAUAAAAGGAUACAGCAAAACACUUAACUCUCCUAAGACCCACUGAGAAACAAACAUAAUUAAAUGUUAGUUUGCAUAGAUUAAGGCAAUUAAUUUAUUUUCCUCUGCAGUAUAUGACAUGCUUAACUACAUCAUAUCAGUUUGUUUGAUAAUUUCCAUGCUUUGUAUGAAUGACUGUUAAGUAUCAGGAACCUCUAACCUACUAAAUUGUAUCAUUUGAGCUUUAUGGAAUAAGUCCAAGCCAACACACCUAAACUGAGAGUAUGCUGUUUAAAAUAAGUGCUGUAGAUAAGUUUUUUUUGGUUGCACAGUUUAGUUAGAUGUAUCAAAGUAAUGUGUUAACUAACUUGUAGCAUGUAAAUAAAUCAUAGAUGGAAACAUUUCCAUAGAUGGAAAUGUUUUAUAGUAAGAUUUCACCUGGCAUCAAUUACAGGAUGUCAGAAAAGCUGGUUUUGAUCUGCAUAUGUUCUGGGAAUCAAACAAAACAGGACCAAAUGUUCACAAUAUGUGUGAUAACUUGCUCACGAUCACACUGUAGCUUAUACUGUAAUGGUUUUGCAUGUUUGGGGUUCAGACAGACAGCAGAUAUUUUUUGACAAUACCACAAUCCCAAUUAAGUCCAUUUUUGGUCCAGGUUCUAACGCUACUUAUGAACGUGUAUUUAAAUGCCUGAUCAAAGUGCCAAAUAAAGUGUGAAACAGUUGGAAAAAACACUUUAUUCUGGCCUCUUGUCUCUGCAAGCAUUAGGAUAAAGGAUGAUCUUUACACGAAUCAAAUAAAGCCUCUUAUCUGCUCCCA